CAGUUCAUGAUGAUUGAUAAGGAGAACCAGUCCGUCCUGAUUACCGGAGAAUCCGGUGCAGGAAAGACUGUCAACACCAAGCGUGUCAUCCAGUACUUUGCCACCAUUGCAGUGUCUGG